AGUGAGCGCUGGCGGUAGGCCUAACACAUGCAAGUCGAACGGCAGCACAGUAAGAGCUUGCUCUUACGGGUGGCGAGUGGCGGACGGGUGAGGAAUACAUCGGAAUCUACUUUUUCGUGGGGGAUAACGUAGGGAAACUUACGCUAAUACCGCAUACGACCUACGGGUGAAAGCAGGGGAUCUUCGGACCUUGCGCGAUUGAAUGAGCCGAUGUCGGAUUAGCUAGUUGGCGGGGUAAAGGCCCACCAAGGGGACGAUCCGUAGCCGGUCUGAGAGGAUGAUAGGCCACACGGGAGCUGGAACGCGGUCCAGACUCCUAAGGGAGGCAGCAGUGGGGAAUAUUAGACAAUGGGGGGAAACCUGGUCCAGCCAUACCGCUUGGGUGAAGAAGGCCUUCGGGUUGUAAAGCCCUUUUGUUGGGAAAGAAAAGCAGCAGGUUAAUACCCCGCUGUUCUGACGGUACCCAAAGAAUAAGCACCGGCUAACUUCGUG
rnacentral:rRNA from 1 species